rnacentral:lncRNA from 1 species
GACACGAAAUAGCACACCUACUAAGGAAGCUAGCACAUUUAGUGUGUCAUGAAUCCUAUUUUACAUUUAAUGGGGUCUUCUACCAAUAAACCCAUGAUGUCCCUAUUGGGGCCUUAGUGGGUCCCCUAGCGGAGAUUGUGUUGCGUGACGUUGAAAGAAGACAUUGAAAGCCAUUGAACGUUUGAACCAGAUUUGAAACUGUAUAUCAGGUAUAUAGAUGAUAUCUUGACGGUCUGGACCACAGACAAUACUUUAGCAAGCUUUCAGGAAGCUCUGACGCAGCAACAGUAUGGUGUGACAUUGAGACAGGAGCAACAAAGUAUGGAGAAAAUACAAUUUUUAGAUAUAGACCUCACCUUAAGGAAUGAACAAAUAACAAUGAGCAUAUAUAGAAAACCAUUGUACCAACCAGUCCUCAUCCCAGCAUGGUCCAACGAUCCACCAACGUUCAAAGCAUCGGCUUUUAACUUCUUUUUUAAACGGGCACACACGUACAUCAUGGACCCAAGAGAACUACAAAGAGAGCUGGACU